rnacentral:rRNA from 1 species
AAUACAUAGCACAUUCGAGGUAGACGCAGAGAACUGAAACAUCUAAGUACCUGCAGGAAGAGAAAGAAAAUUCGAUUCCCUGAGUAGCGGCGAGCGAAACGGGAAAAGCCCAAACCAGCAAGCUUGCUUGUUGGGGUUGUAGGACUCCAAUAUGGUAGUUCUUUCAGAUAGUCGAAUGACUUGGAAAAGUCAGUCAAAGAGGGUAAAAACCCCGUAGACGAAAUGUGGAAGACACCUAGGAGGAUCCUGAGUACGGCGGAACACGAGAAAUUCCGUCGGAAUCCGGGAGGACCAUCUCCCAAGGCUAAAUACUCCCUAGUGACCGAUAGUGAACCAGUACCGUGAGGGAAAGGUGAAAAGCACCCCGGAAGGGGAGUGAAAUAGAACCUGAAACCGUGUGCCUACAACAAGUCAAAGCCCGUUAAUGGGUGAUGGCGUGCCUUUUGUAGAAUGAACCGGCGAGUUACGAUUGCAUGCGAGGUUAAGUUGAAGAGACGGAGCCGCAGCGAAAGCGAGUCUGAAUAGGGCGUUUGAGUAUGUAGUCGUAGACCCGAAACCAUGUGAUCUACCCAUGUCCAGGUUGAAGGUGCGGUAAAACGCACUGGAGGACCGAACCCACGUACGUUGAAAAGUGCGGGGAUGAGGUGUGGGUAGCGGAGAAAUUCCAAACGAACUUGGAGAUAGCUGGUUCUCUCCGAAAUAGCUUUAGGGCUAGCCUCGGAAUUGAGAAUGAUGGAGGUAGAGCACUGUUUGGACUAGGGGCCCAUCUCGGGUUACCGAAUUCAGAUAAACUCCGAAUGCCAUUCAUUCAUAUCCGGGAGUCAGACUGUGAGUGAUAAGAUCCAUAGUCGAAAGGGAAACAGCCCAGACCACCAGCUAAGGUCCCAAAAUAUAUGUUAAGUGGAAAAGGAUGUGGGGUUGCACAGACAACUAGGAUGUUGGCUUAGAAGCAGCCAUCAUUUAAAGAGUGCGUAAUAGCUCACUAGUCGAGUGACCCUGCGCCGAAAAUGUACCGGGGCUAAACAUAUUACCGAAGCUGUGGAGUACACCUUUAGGUGUAUUGGUAGGAGAGCGUUCUAAGGGCGUUGAAGGCAGAUCGUGAGGACUGCUGGAGCGCUUAGAAGUGAGAAUGCCGGUAUGAGUAGCGAAAGGCAGGUGAGAAUCCUGUCCACCGAAUGACUAAGGUUUCCUGGGGAAGGCUCGUCCGCCCAGGGUUAGUCGGGACCUAAGCCGAGGCCGACAGGCGUAGGCGAUGGAUAACAGGUUGAUAUUCCUGUACCCGUUGUUUUUGUUUGAGCAAUGGAGGGACGCAGGAGGCUAAGGAAUGCAGACGAUCGGAAAUGUCUGUCCAAGCAGUAAGUCUGAAGAGGAGUCAAAUGCUUCUUUUCUUAAGGACAAGCUGUGAUGGGGAGGGAAAUAAUAGUACCGAAGUUCCUGAUGUCACACUGCCGAGAAAAGCUUCUAGUGAGAAAACAGCGGCCCGUACCGCAAACCGACACAGGUAGUCGAGGAGAGAAUCCUAAGGUGAGCGAGAGAACUCUCGUUAAGGAACUCGGCAAAAUGACCCCGUAACUUCGGGAGAAGGGGUGCUGAUCAUACGAUCAGCCGCAGUGAAUAGGCCCAAGCGACUGUUUAUCAAAAACACAGGUCUCUGCAAAAUCGUAAGAUGAAGUAUAGGGGCUGACGCCUGCCCGGUGCUGGAAGGUUAAGAGGAGUGCUUAGCGCAAGCGAAGGUACGAAUUGAAGCCCCAGUAAACGGCGGCCGUAACUAUAACGGUCCUAAGGUAGCGAAAUUCCUUGUCGGGUAAGUUCCGACCCGCACGAAAGGCGUAACGAUUUGGGCACUGUCUCAACGAGAGACUCGGUGAAAUUUUAGUACCUGUGAAGAUGCAGGUUACCCGCGACAGGACGGAAAGACCCCAUGGAGCUUUACUGUAGUUUGAUAUUGAGUGUCUGUACCGCAUGUACAGGAUAGGUAGGAGCCGUAGAAAUCGGAACGCUAGUUUCGAUGGAGGCGCUGGUGGGAUACUACCCCUGCGUUAUGGCCACUCUAACCCGCACCACUAAUCGUGGUGGGAGACAGUGUCAGAUGGGCAGUUUGACUGGGGCGGUCGCCUCCUAAAAGGUAACGGAGGCGCCCAAAGGUUCCCUCAGAAUGGUUGGAAAUCAUUCGAAGAGUGUAAAGGCAGAAGGGAGCUUGACUGCGAGACCAACAAGUCGAGCAGGGACGAAAGUCGGGCUUAGUGAUCCGGUGGUUCCGCAUGGAAGGGCCAUCGCUCAACGGAUAAAAGCUACCCUGGGGAUAACAGGCUUAUCUCCCCCAAGAGUCCACAUCGACGGGGAGGUUUGGCACCUCGAUGUCGGCUCGUCGCAUCCUGGGGCUGUAGUCGGUCCCAAGGGUUGGGCUGUUCGCCCAUUAAAGCGGCACGCGAGCUGGGUUCAGAACGUCGUGAGACAGUUCGGUCCCUAUCCGUCGCGGGCGUUGGAAAUUUGAGAGGAGCUGUCCUUAGUACGAGAGGACCGGGAUGGACUUACCGCUGGUGUACCAGUUGUUCUGCCAAGGGCAUUGCUGGGUAGCUAUGUAGGGAAGGGAUAAACGCUGAAAGCAUCUAAGUGUGAAGCCCACCUCAAGAUGAGAUUUCCCAUUUCUUUAAGAAAGUAAGAUCCCUGAGAGAUGAUCAGGUAGAUAGGUCAGGAGUGGAAGUACAGUGAUGUAUGGAGCGGACUGAUACUAAUCGAUCGAGGACUUAACCAA